ncrna:unclassified sequences IMES-2 RNA motif
GAAUUAAUUAAGGGGCAACCCUUAACUGACCAGCUGGAGAAAAACCGCAAGGAACAAAUUCAGAGGGCAGAAAGUUUCGCGGGGGAUCGCUGAACGCGCGAAACGGGUGGCAUGGCGAUAGCGAGUCAACGACGUGCCUA